CCUACGGGGGGCUGCAGUAGGGAAUAUUGGACAAUGGGCGCAAGCCUGAUCCAGCCAUCCCGCGUGAAGGAUUAAGGCCCUCUGGGUUGUAAACUUCUUUUCUUUGGGAAUAAAAACUCCGAUUCAUCGGAGCUUGAAGGUACCAGAGGAAUAAGCACCGGCUAACUCCGUGCCAGCAGCCGCGGUAAUACGGAGGGUGCAAGCGUUAUCCGGAUUCACUGGGUCUAAGGGGGGCGUAGGUGGCAUUGUAGAAAGCCCGGAGCUAAACUCCGGAACUGCAAGUGAUACUGCUGAGCUUGAAUCAGGUCGAGGUGGAUGGAAUAUUACAUGUAGCGGUGAAAUGCUUAGAUAUGGAAUAGAACACCGAUUGCGAAGGCAGUUCACUAGGCCUGUAUUGACACUGAGGCACGAAAGCGUGGGGAUCAAACAGGAUUAGAUACCCGAGUAGUC
rnacentral:rRNA from 1 species